AGGGGCGGGCUGCCGCCGCCCUCUGCAGCUGAGUCAGUGCAGUUCCUCACCUACCUUCUCUGCUCACCGCUGUGUGCUAGCAAUCGGAGGACCCUUGGCACACGGAGCGACAGGGGCCUCCCCCACAGACACCUCAUUUUGGGAAAGAAGGCCUCGAUUCUGUCCUCCUCGUCCUGCAUCUCCAGAGCACCCAUCCACUCCUCAAAGAGGUCGCUUGAAAGUAGCUUCCGGGGGAUACUUCUGAGGAAGUCCUGGGGGAUGAGAGUGGGCUGUUGGCCUAUUGGUACUGUAUGAUGUCCCAUGUCCUUGUUUUCACCCGGUUUUCGUUCCAUCGCAGGGUGCUCUAUGCUUAGCCCAUCAUAGAUUGUGGCCCUUCAUUCCUGCAUUUGAUGAAUCCAGGGAACCCUCUCUCCAACACCCUUGGCCUCUCUGCAACUUUCUAACAUCAGGCAGAGUCAGAGGCACCAUCCCCAGGUGGGUGUGUUCUGAGGGGCCACUGGAUUUUGACGUAUGGAUUCUGCCACGGAACAAUCAAAUUGCCCGUACUUGGCAAAGUUUUGGGAGAGCAGAAUGCAUCACUUUCUGUUGGAAUCUGAGGUCACAGAAACAGAGGUGCUUACUAAAUAAAUAAAUAAAGGGCUUAAUGAAAAAAAUUAAACUCCAAGAUCAGUGUACCUUGCUGUGUGGGGAGAAGAGCCUAUUUCUUGCAUCCUGAGAAUGAGUGUGUCAGGGCCCCUUGGCAGGUUAUUUGGCGCAAGUGUGUUGAACUCACCUUAAAGACCACAGCGAGGAGGUGCACGGGGAGCCUCUCCAGAUCCACCGCAUCCCCAGAGUUGAGCUCCUCCUUCAGCUCCUUACGGGCUUUCUCGUUGGCUGCUCUCCUGAAUAUCCCUUCCGUUGAAGGGCCUUUAAGGCAUAGAAUAGUGAGAAUGUCCUAAAGGAAACAGCAAUAGGAACAGGAAAGGGUUACCCUUCUUCUUUAGUAUACUGAGAUAGUCUUAACAGGAAUAUUGAUGUCAGAUUUUGCUUUCAGUCCAGUUGCUGUCAAUGGCCUUCCUCAACCCUGCUAUUUUUCUAAGAGGAGGCAAAUUGUGAAAGCUCUAAUUUUGCACUUUCUAAAAUCACUUUGGAGCUCUCUCCUUUCAAAUACUUCCAUAUGAACAUUGGAUUUCAGAUCACAAAGUCUAUAUUCUGUUUCCCCCUUUUGACUUUUCAGAAGCUACAAAUCUUCAGCAUUCUCCACUCUGUGAAGUCAGAGGAAUGGCGGGACCAUAGCUCUGAGCUCAUUGGCAAAUACAACUAAUUUCAAUUUCUGGAAUGGAAGCAGUCAGAUAUUCUUCUGACUGCACGCGUAUGUGGGAGUGCCAUGUUGAAGAGUGGAAAAUAUGGAAGAUCAGUCCCUACAAACUUAAUAGGAGAAUGACAUUCAGAUUUCCCGAGUAUUUUGCAUGUCCAACUGAAAACUGAAGUAGGUUUAUGAGAGAAUGCACGCCUACCUGGAUGGGUCUGGGGAGUGUGUCACUGUCACCGCAGAUAAUUGACAAGGGCUGAUCAAAUAGCGAUGCUUUCAAGUCUGUCUCCAAAGCCCCAGAAAAAUCUGAUGCAGGGGAGAGCCUUCUCAUGAGAAAGGGCCAGGACAGCACCUUCUUUCUCUUCUUAACUUCUACAGCCAAGAAAACAAGGCAACGAGAAAAAUUAGACUACAGUGUUAAGAAGCAAAGAUCCAGGUAAGAAAAUGGGUAUCGUUGGCCGCAUAAUGUGGUCAAUAGUAUGCGAUGUGAGAAAAAUAAUUUUGAAAACUUGAGAAAGCAAAGGGCGUGAAUCUUAAUCUAGAAAAACCAACCGAUAAACAACCACACUGUUACCAGGGCAACCAGUUCCCUAAACAGCAACACCAGAGUUCCUCAAGGCCUCCACCUUUCCUGUUUUCACUCUUUCCAGCUGUUUGCUACAGAAAAUUAGCAAAACCUAACUGUGCUGAUCAUAAACAACCAUCUUAACCUACUGGCCUGAAUAACUAUAGAGGAAAUUUCUGAUAUGAAAUAGAUUAUUUUGAUUUCCUCCUUUAACUGGCGAAGAAAACGAAACUUAAAAGGUGAGGAAGUGACUUGCUGAAUAUCUUUUCGAAGGCACAUAGCAGGGCUGGCUCCAACCCUUUGCAGCCACGCAGGCACUAAACAGCCACUAGAGGGAGCUAACACCAUUUUUCCUUCCAGGUGACUGGUCACCUUGGGUUUUCCAGGUUGCUGCUUUAGGACAGAGGCAAAUACGAAUCGCUGCGGGAAGCCUUGAACCUAGAUCUGGCAACUGGGAAUUAUCAGCAAAACGUUAUCAAGAUAUUCUGUCCUUCUGAAAUCCACAAGAUGUGUGUGCAAUGGAUAUUGCAAUCUCAAACAUUUCCUUCUUUCUUUUCUUUUCCUUCCUUCCUUCCUUCUCCUUUCUUACUAAUUAUAAAGGCUAUAUUUUCUAAAUGCAUUGGCAUCUGUUUCUAUACAUUUCAGAUUGGCAAGUGGAAGCAUGAUGAGAAAGAAGUGGCCUGUCUUUAUGGUUCAGGAGAACUGGGUCAGGGUUACGCUAUAAUGAAAUGCAUUAUGAAAAAAGUUGAGAGUGAAUGGUGGGUCCUUUGGGAUUUGAGAUCAGCAACAGUUGCUUCAUAGGCUCUUGGAUGCAUUCUCCAUAAGAGAAGGAAGAAAAUGGAAAAGACACUGUGUGUUUUUCAAAUGUGUGCAUGCUAAUUGUCGAAACAUACAUGGCCAGGAGAUUGAACCGCAUUAAAAACGCUUGGCAGAACUGGGGAUUCUCUAUGGAGAGGCUCUUUCCUUUCCCAGCACUCCCUGCUCUAGUGAGUUGGAGCAUACCUGCCAUUUAAGGGUUAAUGUUCUGCGGUCUUUAACAGAACAACUUAUACAAAAAAAUUCCUAGUAGAGUAAAAGCGCUGUGGUUUUGCAAACCAAGAGCACUGGUUGUUAGCACUUACAUAAAAGAUCGGUAUGUUUUUAAAACUCACCAAUGAGCUGGCAAAUACUGUCUUCACUCUCACAUGAUGCCAACAGGGGAUGUUCCUUGAUAUCACCCUAAAAACAUUUUUAUUUCAGUUAAAUAUAGUGACUGAAGAAACCUAUCGAGUCUUUCCCCACAAAACACACAUACAGCAUUUUAUUCAUAUUAAAAAUGAAGUCAGUAGAGUGCAUUGAUGUUUUUUCUAGCUUCUAGAAGCAAUAUUAAGGUCUUGAUUGUCAUCAUAUAAGAUCCUAAUUAAUGUGCUUAAUUUACUACAUGUGUGAUGUUAGUUUACUACUCUUAUAAUUACUAUUCAACCCAAAUAAUAUUCAAUUAAAACAAA
ensembl:lncRNA TAGAP-AS1 TAGAP antisense RNA 1